rnacentral:lncRNA from 1 species
CGUUCACGCGCGCCAUUUUAUUUAAGCGUGUUGAUUUUAAAAAAAUAAAAUAAAUAAUACCCCUUUUUAUGCUUUGAAAAACGGGGUGUUACAUUUUUCUUUUAAAUUCCUUUUCUUUCAUUUCAUUUCUUAUUUAUAUUAGCUUAGUUUCAUAGAUUCUUUCAUCUUUUCAUUAGCCUAGCAUUUGUUACAUAUACAUGAGCCUUUCCAUAAAAUUCCAUGAAGAACAAAUGAUCUUAGCUAUGCAACCUAGACAAUACCUGAAAUCAUGAUCAUAUACUCCAAGAAUGAUGAAAUUCCAUUUCACUUGUUCUGCUUUUAUCCAAGUCUUGUGAUUAGGAACAGUGUCUAGAAUUUAUUUCUAAAAUUUGACUCAAGCUGUUAAUUUCCAUACUUAAGCUUAUUUUAAGAACAAACUUUCGGUCCUCUGUACUCUUGUCCAUAACUAAUUGAAUGGUAUCAAACAUAUACUACAAG